UUUUUUGUGUUUUCUUACAAAAGUCAUUGAACCGCAAACAUACAUGAAACAUACAUACAAACGUCGAUACUUGGGCGGAACUAUUAAAUAAAACCAAACCCAAAAGUACCAACCCUUCUGGGUUUGGUUAUUUUUCCAAUUUUGUUUUCCGUCAUUCUUGUAACCUCAAAUGUGCAAUAUGCAAAUUAUUAAUAUCUAGUCUUCCUUGCAUUUCUUCUUCCUGUUUUCCACAUUCACCUGAAUAUCCUAAUAUAAUACAUACAACUUGUUUCAUACUUUUUGUUUUUAAAUUUUGUUUUCUCUUUCCUUCAUAAAAAAGCAACAAAGAAAAGGUGCUUAUUGAGCUUUUCAAAUGUGAAAUUUUUAGACACCAUACUGUGCCUGAAUCUGUGCGAGCACUUCAGGACUCGCUUGCCAGGAUGCCUUACCAUUAAACAACUCCACAGAUCCUUGUAAAAUCUUUUGAAACAUAUCACGAAGUUCGGCUGAAGGAUUUUCAUAUUCGGCCACACAAAGGACAAACAUUGGCAACAAGUAUGAAAGUGCUUGUGGAU